AUUUAGCUGACGAGUCCCAAAUAGGACGAAACACGCGUCCUGGAU
rnacentral:hammerhead_ribozyme from 1 species